GACGAACGCUGGCGGCGUGCUUAACACAUGCAAGUCGAACGGAAAGGCCCUGCUUUCACAGUACUCUAAUGACGAACGAGUGAGUGACUCAUGGGUGAGCUGCCCUCCACUUAGCGAUAAACCUGAGAAACUGGCUCUAGUACCUAACACAUGACAACUUUAGUGUUAUGGUUGGAGAUUUUUUUCUGUAUUGGAUUAGCUCGCGGACUAUCCGCUGGUUGGUGGGGUAAUUGCCUACCAAGGCGGCGACGGGUAGCCGGCCUGAGAGGGUGGACGGCCACAGUGGGACUGAGAGACGGCGCAGACGCCUACGGGAGGCAGCAGUGGGGAAUAUUGCACAAUGGGCGCAAGCCUGAUGCAGCGACGCCGCGGUGGGGAUGACGUGCUUCGGGUUGUAAACGCCGUUCGCUAGGGACGAAGCAUUUUGUGACGGUACCUAGAUAAGAAGCACCGGCUAACUACGUG
rnacentral:rRNA from 1 species